UCGUGCCAGCCACCGCGGUUAUACGAGAGGCCCAAGUUGAUAGUCAACGGCGUAAAGAGUGGUUAGAAGGAAAACCAACUACUAAAGCCGAACGCCUUCAGGGCUGUUAUACGCACAUGAAGGUGAGAAGCCCACCCACGAAAGUGGCUUUAUAUCCUUGAAUCCACGAAAGCUAUGGCACAAACUGGGAUUAGAUACCCCACUAUG
rnacentral:rRNA from 1 species